CCUCAGCUUACUCAUGUAGAACAUAAAGAACUCGACAGCGUGGGGUUAGCAAAGGCUAGGCAGAGUGGGGGCAAUGGAGAAAGUUCUGCAAUAGUCUUUCAUCGCAAGCCUCCAGAGAUCAAGUUCUUCCUUGGGAACAGAGAGUGUCUGUCCUCAGCAGAGGUUCCAACCUGUGCUCCUGCCCAGGUCAACUGAGAAAGCUUCAGUACUGUCUCCACCAUACCGAAGAGGCAUCCCCAGUGGCUAAGUGUCACUCAGCCAACGAAGCUGUUGCAUACUUAGCCACGCUUUGCUGCUCCAGAGAGUUCUUCAUCCUUUGAUAUCCGCAGGAUUCAUCAAUUUCAUAAACAAUGUGGAGUCGCAUACUAUGAGACUGAGCUCCACAUCUGUCUGCUGGGAUAUGUCACCUUGGCUUUACAGUUUGAGUCACGGGUUUCAAAUAACCGACUGUCCCAACUGUCAGUGGCUGUCCCGGUUUGGGCCAGCUCCUGGAUCUUGGAUUUCAAAGUCCCUGAACUAUGAGUCAAUAAAUUUCUAAUCAUUAUACAUUA